UCCCGCAUCCGCCGCUCCCGGCCCCGCCUGGCCGCAGGGCCCGGGUAGGAAGGACGGGACCGGCCCGGUGGAGACCUGGCCCCACUGCACGAGGGUCCCUGGAGAUGCCAUUCUGAGCCGAGAAGCGGCUGCUCUGGCCGAGGCCGUUUGCGUGGCAGCGCUUGCAGGUCUGCGGAAGCCAGGUUGAAGCUGCCCCAUACCCAAGUAGCCCCAUCCAAUGGGAAAUUCCAAAUCAAGGCCUCCAAAGAGAUUUGCUAAUCAGAAAACCACGGCUACACAGUUGCGAAGACACCUCCCCCAAGGCCUUCGCCUGCCCUCAGGACACCCACUAAGACUUGGAUGUCCACACUGAAACGUGUCCUUUUGGCUUUCCAGCUCGAUUCCCAAAAGCCAGUCAAACCACAGUGGAAGCCUCCGCCGUGUUCUACAUCCUGUGCACUGAGUGGAGUUUUGUGAAAUUGCCUUAGGUUGCUAAGGGCAAAACUGUGCCCAGACAAAAAUAAGCAAACCGAAUUUCUCUUGUGUUCCCUUACCCUUUUUCAUGACUGCUCUCAUUCCGCUCUCCUCCCCACUAGCCCGGGUGUCUGGGACGCUUGUGUGGUUUCUAGGCUCUCCCAAAAUAGGCCCCUAUCCAGCCCUUCCCUCCCUGAGAAUUGCCCCAGUCCAUUUGUCCUUCUCCCCCCCACCAGCUCUAUUAAAAAUGACCUCAUUUGUGUCUCAUUCUGAUCAGGCCUUGGGCUCUUCUUUACAAAGUGGCAAUCCUAGUCUGUCAACUGGCCCGUAUUUAUGGGUUUAUACCCUCUCCCCAGCCAGGUCACCCGUGAACUUAAACAUGGCCUCAUGAAAACCAGGUCCCCAUGAUCACCCUAAGGUAACCUAUAAAGCUCUAGCCCAGGAAGGCAAGAAGAUGACUGCUAGGAGACAUAUUUCAGGAGUGACAGGUCAGAGGUAGCCCUCGACUUUUUUAAAAAGUGCCAUGUUCUCUAUUGUUACACUCUAUGAUUACUGCACUGAGGGCCCAUCCUGACUCCUCUGGAAUUCCCUGCAAAUACAGAGUUCGGGUAUAACUUCAGCAGGGAUAAAAAUUCGAUGGUACAUAACUGACAAUUUUUCAAAUUAAGAAAUAGAACAUGCAAGUUUUUCUUAUGAGAAUUUUGUAACGUAAAUGGUCAUGUGCUAAUUCAGACCUCCACUUCUCUGCUGCUAUAAAGUCUCCAACAGCAAAAGCCAGGAAUGGUCAUAAAACUGACCAUGUUUUCUGAUUCAGGAAAUCCUUUGUUGAACAUUAACAUACAAAGAUGAAGAGUAAGCAAAGCUGCCUGUUUGAGUAUAAACACAUAUGCAGACAAAGAAACAAAUACAUGGGUUAGAGAACAACAAAAAAAUUAUCUCCAUGGAGGUAAAGGGAGGAUUGUUGCAUUAAUUGUAACUCAAAUCUCUUAACAUUUGAAGAAUGAUUAAGCAAACUAGGGUGUCUUUACUGGGUGUAUUUAAUGGUGUACAAUAGUAUAUGUUACUUAGAUAUUAAAUGAAAUGUGUAUACUAUGUAGAUUUAUGAGACGUUUAUAGUAAAUAAGGUUCUGUGAAAAUAAUAUGACUCAAAAUGUUAAAUAGGAUAAGUAAUAUAAAUGUGUUACAACGCCCUGGAGCACAGGCUGAUCCCUGGAGACCAGUACUGAGUCAUGUGGUCUGCUCAAGAGUCAAUUAAGGAAAUAUAAAAGUGUUUACAACCCUUGUUUUUCAUAAUUUAUCUUUUUUAUGGAACUAUAGUGUCUGCAACAUCAGUUAAACAGCCUUUCAGUAUUUCUCAUUUACGUAACAACUCCUUCCUUCCUUCUUCCUUCCUUCUUUCCUUCUCUUUCUGAAACUUUCUAAAUAGCAUGUGCUACCUAAUCUUAUUUGUAACUCGCGCCCUUGAAACAAUUUUGAGGAGAUGAAUCCUGGACAUACCAGGGUAGGAAAGGAAUUUGAGGGACUUAGAAAAACAGAGGUGAGUGGACCCCACAGUUCACCCACAGACUUGAAAAAGGAGACAGUAGCUGGUGGGUGAAGGCUGGAAACAGCCUCUGUCUGUGGGAAGGGGAGUGUUCCUGAGAACCCCAAGGAAGGUGGCUGCUCGGUGGAGGGGCUAUUAGGUAAGCGGAUAGAAACUGCACAGCCUCCUUUUGCAACUCCAGAUGUCUUCUUCCUGUGGAAAGUGUGGUGACAUCUUACAUGGGAGACGGGGAGGGUGGGGGCUCACCUCCUCAUCGUCUCCAUCGCCUCGAAUGGGAGCGCUCAGAAGUGUUCCAGAACAAGUAGACAGCUCUCGCUGAAGACAAGGAAGGCUCUGUUGGGACCUCACAAAGGAUUGGUGUCAGGUGAUAGUGUUUAAAUUUUUCAGAUUCCUGAGUGCUAGCACUGGGCAGCUUAAGCCAUCUUCAGCAUCUCACUGGCCUCUUUACUGACACUCCUGCCCAGCAACCUCCACCGUCCCUUGGAUCUCUGGCUGAGCUUAAAGUGUUGGGUUAAAAGAAAAUAAGCAAUAAGAUAUAUAGUAACACCUCCCAUGGAAGGUAAAUGGAUUGAUUCAGCUGUGACCACCUCCCAAAAGCCCUAAGUAACAUGUAAUUCAAUCAGUCCUUUUCAUUUUCAUUGCUUGCUUGUAAAACUGAGAAAUUAAAUUAAUGAUGCAGAUCAAAGUCACCACAACCCCAGUUUUGUUUCAUAGACUGUCUUGGGUUGUUGCUUCUGGCGAGUCAUGUAAGUUUUCUUGCAAUUUUUCAGAGAAAUACUAUGGAGUUUAGGAUUUCUUUUUCUUAAAAGGAGUUGUGUUUCACUUUUUUGUACCUUAACAUUAUUUGCUAUCAACUAAAAAUUGGUUUAAUUGUAGAUGUUGGCAACGAUUCUUAUAUUGCAGGGAUUUCUGUGUUUAGCUGUUUACCCACCCACUCGGCGAGUGGCAGACCCUGACUGUGCUAGACACUGGAAAAAUGGCCGAUGGAGGCAGAGGACCCACGCCGAAGUCGAGCAGUAAAGGAAAGAGACAAACAUAUAAACGGGAGACUUUUGUAUGAUGUGAAAUGUCUGAGGCUUGGUGUAGUUGCUUCAUUUUGGUAACUCUUCUCAUUCAAGAAAUGAGUAUAAAUUCCAGAGACUCCAAACCUUGAAUUCAACUGAAACCAACCCCCAAGUAAAGGAGAAGAUGCUCAGGAUGGCUGGAGUUUGAACCUAGUCAACUGGUAGGUGAGUGUGUGUGUUUGUGAUGGGGGGAAAAUCUGGGUUUUGUUUGAAUUCCCAAGACUGCCCUAGAUGAGGAAGAAACUAAUACAGACUCUUCCUAAUCUGAAGUGCCUCUAAGAAUAUUUGUGUACAAGUUGAGUAUCUGUCAUCCAAAAUGCUUGGGACCAGGAGUGUUUCUCCGAUUUUGGAAUAUUCGCAUUAUACUUACCAGUGGAGCACUUCUAAUCCGAAAAUCCUGAAUCCGAAAUGCUCCAGUGAGCAUUUCUUUUGAGCAUUGUGUCAGCAGUCAAAAAGUUUCUAAUUUUGGAGCUUUUUGGAUUUCAAAUUAGGGAUGCUUAACCUGUACUAAGAGUACCGAACUACUGUACUGAGUUGCCUUAAGGCUCCAAUUACAUUAGACCUCUUGCAAAUUUUAUUUCUACUGAGGUUAUUAUUGUUAAAAAAAAAAAAAAUUUCAACAACGUUAAAGAUUUAAUUGGCUUUUAUUACUGAUUCAUGAAUCAGGCAGCGUCCCAUCCAAGAACUGAGAAAAUAUGUUCCAAUAAGCCAGGCAAAGGACUUGGCUUUAUAGGCAGGAAAGGCUGAAGAAGCAGAAACAGGGAACAAAAGGGAGACUGGCAUUUUAGAGUUACUUCUCUUGCAGGGUUAAAGCAGGGGGGACUUCCUCAUCAAACCUGCUCAGGUAAACUGGUCCUUUUGAUUGGCUGCUGUGCAUCUCUUAUUUUUUGGAAAGCUGCCCUUUUUAAAGUUCAGCCGGACCGCCUGGCACCUGGCAGGGAUGACUCCAUUCUGGUUUGGUCUGGUCCAUUGGGCCUAGUGUAAGAGUUCAGUCCAAAACAGUGGCCUCCCAUACACUUGAUUUCAGAUGAUUCUUGAACUACUAUUCUCCUUGCUGCCCUGGGCUUUCCCAGUUACCAGUGUAACAGAGCCCGUUCGGAAUCAUCCAUGAUCCAAUCCUUCGCAUGGCACAUCUUCUGCUCUCUGAAAAUAUGGGGUGAGUGGGUGGGUGAGAGAGUGAGUUCACCGACCCGACUGAUAAAUCCCAAGCGUGGAGGGUAGAAAGGGCCCUCUGACAUCAGACGGAACCAAGUUUACAUGCAGGCUCCUUUAUGCCCAAUUUGUGUGAAUUUAAGGAAGUAUCUGAGUCUCUUCAACCCGUAGUUCCAUCCUCUGUCAAAGAUGGAUACUGAAAGGCUGUUGCAUUAUUUUGGGGGAGGGUUACACAUAUGUGGGGUGUGUGUGUGUGAAUAGCAAGUCUAGAUGACAAAGCAUCCGAGUUUGCAUGGGACUGUCCAGGUUUUAAUCCUGGCUGUCCCUCAUUCUGGGAAACUUCAGUCCCACGUGAACUGCAGUUGUUGUCACCUUGUCCCCUUCCCUAGGCCCAUAAAACCGUUCUGGGUUGUUACUAUCCAUUAAAAAGGAAGUGCUGACUUCCAGACAUCCUCACUUCCUUCCUCAAUUGUUCUGAAUGUAGAAAAGACUCCAGAUUUAGAAAACAGCGUCAGUACUUUAUGCACAGCUAUACACAUCUAAAUUACUUAUGAUUCUCCAUCUUACACUCAGUUCACAUGGGAGGCUUAAAUAUGCGAAUUCUAACUUCAACUAAAUAACAGUUUUUUUACUGAAAGACAUACUGGGUCUAAAAGAAGAACAAAAAUAGGAAAUAAGAAAAGAGGGCUUGGUUUCCCAGUCUCCCGGUAGGGCCCCAGCCCUACCUCUCUCCCGACUCCCUGCCCUUCCCCUCCUGCACACUUGUGUCCAAUGUCAUAUUCUUCUACUGAACUGAACCUUACCCUAAGAACCAACCUUCAGUAGCUCUGGUAGAGGGCAUUUUAAGGACUUUAAGGCAGAACUCUCCCUUGGGUAAAGAUUUGUGGGAAGCUGGCCUUCCUCCAGACAGUUCUUCCCCAAGCCCACAUGUGGUUCCUGAGUUUCAGGCUAUGCAGCCUCCCCUGGACCUACUGUCAGCAGAUGUUCAAAACUGGGGCAUCAAGAUUAGGCAGUGGCAGGCCUGGCACGGUGACUCACACCUGUAAUCUCGGCACUUUGGGAGACAG